rnacentral:rRNA from 1 species
UACGUAGGGGGCGAGCGUUGUCCGGGAGUCUGGGCGUAAAGCGCACGCAGGCGGUCUCUAAGUUUGGAGUGACAGUUGGUGGCUUAACUGCCAAAAGUGCUUCGAAAACUGACAGGCUUGAGGGCUUCAGAGGGACACGGAAUUCCGGGGUGGAGUGGUGAAAUGCGUAGAGAUCCGGAGGAACACCAAAGGCGAAGGCAGUGUCCUGGGGGAGUA